GUCUUUUUGUUAAUAAUUUAAAGUCGAAUCUGCCCCCUGAUUAAUAAUUAAAGGGCUGCAGUAUAUUGACUGUACAAAGGUAGCAUAAUAAUUAGUCUUUUAAUUGAAGACUUGUAUGAAAGAUUUGAUGAGAUAUAAACUGUCUCUUUUUUAUAAUUUGAAUUUAAUUUUUUAGUAAAAAAGCUAAAAUUUAUUUAAAAGACGAGAAGACCCUAUAGAGUUUUAUAAUUAAAUUAAUUAUGAAUUUGUAUUUAAUUUAAAAAUUAAUUAUUUUAAUUAUUUUAUUGGGGUGAUAAAAAAAUUAAUUUAACUUUUUUUUUAAAAUAAACAUUAAUUAAUGAAUAAAUGAUCCAUUUUUUAUGAUUAUAAGAAAAAAUUACCUUAGGGAUAACAGCGUAAUUUUUUUUUUUAGUUCUUAUAAGAAAAAAAGUUUGCGACCUCGAUGUUGGAUUAAGAUAAAAUUUAAAUGCAGAAGUUUAAAAUUUUGAUCUGUUCGAUCAUUAAAAUCUUACA
rnacentral:rRNA from 1 species